AUUGAACGCUGGCGGCAGGCCUAACACAUGCAAGUCGAGCGGAUGAAGGGAGCUUGCUCCUGGAUUCAGCGGCGGACGGGUGAGUAAUGCCUAGGAAUCUGCCUGGUAGUGGGGGAUAACGUCCGGAAACGGGCGCUAAUACCGCAUACGUCCUGAGGGAGAAAGUGGGGGAUCUUCGGACCUCACGCUAUCAGAUGAGCCUAGGUCGGAUUAGCUAGUUGGUGGGGUAAAGGCCUACCAAGGCGACGAUCCGUAACUGGUCUGAGAGGAUGAUCAGUCACACUGGAACUGAGACACGGUCCCGACUCCUGCGGGAGGCAGCCGUGGGGAAUAUUGGACCAUGGGCGAAAGCCUGAUCCAGCCAUGCCGCGUGUGUGAAGAAGGUCUUCGGAUUGUAAAGCACUUUAAGUUGGGAGGAAGGGCAGUAAGUUAAUACCUUGCUGUUUUGACGUUACCAACAGAAUAAGCACCGGCUAACUUCGUG
rnacentral:rRNA from 1 species